rnacentral:rRNA from 1 species
CGGGACGGGUGAGUAAUGUCUGGGGAAACUGCCUGAUGGAGGGGGAUAACUACUGGAAACGGUAGCUAAUACCGCAUAACGUCGCAAGACCAAAGAGGGGGACCUUAGGGCCUCUUGCCAUCGGAUGUGCCCAGAUGGGAUUAGCUAGUAGGUGGGGUAACGGCUCACCUAGGCGACGAUCCCUAGCUGGUCUGAGAGGAUGACCAGCCACACUGGAACUGAGACACGGUCCAG